rnacentral:rRNA from 1 species
GAUGAACGCUGGCGGCGUGCCUAAUACAUGCAAGUCGAGCGAACGGACGAGAAGCUUGCUUCUCUGAUGUUAGCGGCGGACGGGUGAGUAACACGUGGAUAACCUACCUAUAAGACUGGGAUAACUUCGGGAAACCGGAGCUAAUACCGGAUAAUAUUUUGAACCGCAUGGUUCAAAAGUGAAAGACGGUCUUGCUGUCACUUAUAGAUGGAUCCGCGCUGCAUUAGCUAGUUGGUAAGGUAACGGCUUACCAAGGCAACGAUGCAUAGCCGACCUGAGAGGGUGAUCGGCCACACUGGAACUGAGACACGGUCCAGACUCCUACGGGAGGCAGCAGCAGGGAAUCUUCCGCAAUGGGCGAAAGCCUGACGGAGCAACGCCGCGUGAGUGAUGAAGGUCUUCGGAUCGUAAAACUCUGUUAUUAGGGAAGAACAGAUGUGUAAGUAACUGUGCACAUCUUGACGGUACCUAAUCAGAAAGCCACGGCUAACUACGUG